rnacentral:rRNA from 1 species
CCUACGGGAGGCAGCAGUGGGGAAUAUUGCACAAUGGGGGAAACCCUGAUGCAGCGACGCCGCGUGAGUGAAGAAGUAUUUCGGUAUGUAAAGCUCUAUCAGCAGGAACGAGACAAGACGGUACCUGACUAAGAAGCCCCGGCUAACUACGUGCCAGCAGCCGCGGUAAUACGUAGGGGGCAAGCGUUAUCCGGAAUCACUGGGUGUAAAGGGAGCGUAGACGGCUGUGCAAGCCUGAAGUGAAAGGCGGGGGCCCAACCCCGGGACUGCUCUGGAAACUGCCUGGCUGGAGUACAGGAGAGGUAAGUGGAAUUCCUAGUGUAGCGGUGAAAUGCGUAGAUAUUAGGAGGAACACCAGUGGCGAAGGCGGCUUACUGGACUGUAACUGACGUUGAGGCUCGAAAGCGUGGGGAGCAAACAGGAUUAGAUAUCCUGGUAGUC